rnacentral:rRNA from 1 species
GGCCCGCAGGCGCAAUGAAAGUGAAGGGCAGCCUUGUCGUUGCCUGCGUUGGGAUCCCCAGUCCACUGUGUCUGGGGCGCACCAACGGCCCGUCCCGUCCGCAACGUCGGUGGGACGGAGCGAGAGCGUACACGUUGGGACCCGAAAGAUGGUGAACUAUGCCUGGGCAGGACGAGGCCAGAGGAAACUCUGGUGGAGGUCCGCAGCGAUUCUGACGUGCAAAUCGAUCGUCAGACCUGGGUAUAGGGGCGAAAGACUAAUCGAACCGUCUAGUAGCUG